UGUGGGGACCAUUCCACGGUUUCCGUGCCGCAGCUAACGCAUUAAGCGCCCCGCCUGGGGAGUACGGCCGCAAGGCUAAAACUCAAAGGAAUUGACGGGGGCCCGCACAAGCGGCGGAGUAUGUUGCUUAAUUCGAUGCAACGCGAAGAACCUUACCAAGGCUUGACAUAUACCGAAAACUCAUAGAGAUAUGGGGUCCUUUUGGGCGGUAUACAGGUGGUGCAUGGUUGUCGUCAGCUCGUGUCGUGAGAUGUUGGGUUAAGUCCCGCAACGAGCGCAACCCUCGUUCUAUGUUGCCAGCGCGUAAUGGCGGGGACUCAUAGGAGACUGCCGGGGUCAACUCGGAGGAAGGUGGGGAUGACGUCAAAUCAUCAUGCCCCUUAUGUCUUGGGCUGCAAACAUACUACAAUGGCCGGUACAAAGGGCUGCGAUACCGCAAGGUGGAGCGAAUCCCAAAAAGCCGGUCUCAGUUCGGAUUGGGGUCUGCAACUCGACCCCAUGAAGUCGGAGUUGCUAGUAAUCGCAGAUCAGCAACGCUGCGGUGAAUACGUUCCCGGGCCUUGUACACACCGCCCGUCACGUCGCGAAAGUCGGUAACACCCGAAGCCGGUGGCCCAACUCGCAAGAGAGGGAGCUGUCGAAGGUGGGGCUG
rnacentral:rRNA from 1 species